UUAAUGCUACCUUUUUAUAGUAUGUGUGUGUGUGUGUGUGUGUGGAUAUAUAUAUAUAUAUAUAUAUAUAUAUAUAUACAUAUUAUUGGACACACACACACACUAUAAAAAGGUAGCAAUAA